GCUUUCCUUGUCUCGGGGUGGUUCGGGAGGCUCAAUGAACGUCUAGUGAGAGUCUCCCUGCUAACACCAGACCAACACAUCCGCGCCCCCCGGGCGGUUCCGCUCGGGAAAAGGUGCAAUUUUUGGACCC
ensembl:snRNA